AGUGAACGCUGGCGUUAGGCCUAACACAUGCAAGUCGAACGGCAGCACAGUAAGAGCUUGCUCUUACGGGUGGCGAUUUGCGGACGGGUGAGGAAUACAUCGGAAUCUACUUUUUCGUGGGGGAUAACUUAGGGAAACUUACGCUCAUACCGCAUACGACCUACGUGUGAAAGCAGGGGAUCUUCGUACCUUGCGCGAUUGAAUGAUCCGAUGUCGGAUUAUCUAGUUGGCGGGGUAAAGGCCAACCAAGGCGACGAUCCGUAGCUGGUCUGAGAGGAUAUCAGGCCAAACUGAAACUGAAAAACGGUCCAGAGCCUACGGGAGGCAGCAGUGGGGAAUAUUGGACAAUGGGCGCAAGCCUGAUCCAGCCAUACCGCGUGGGUGAAGAAGGCCUUCGGGUUGUAAAGCCCUUUUGUUGGGAAAGAAAAGCAGCAGGUUAAUACCCCGCUGUUCUGACGGUACCCAAAGAAUAAGCACCGGCUAACUUCGUG
rnacentral:rRNA from 1 species